GAUGAACGCUGGCGGCGUGCUUAACACAUGCAAGUCGAACGGGAAACCUUUUAUUGAAGCUUCGGCAGAUUUAGCUGGUUUCUAGUGGCGGGCGGGUGAGUAACGCGUGGGUAACCUGCCUUAUACAGGGGGAUAACAACCAGAAAUGGUUGCUAAUACCGCAUAAGCGCACAGGACCGCAUGGUCCGGUGUGAAAAACUCCGGUGGUAUAAGAUGGACCCGCGUUGGAUUAGCUCGUUGGCAGGGUAACGGCCUACCAAGGCGACGAUCCAUAGCCGGCCUGAGAGGGUGAACGGCCACAUUGGGACUGAGACACGGCCCAGACUCCUACGGGAGGCAGCAGUGGGGAAUAUUGCACAAUGGGGGAAACCCUGAUGCAGCGACGCCGCGUGAAGGAAGAAGUAUCUCGGUAUGUAAACUUCUAUCAGCAGGGAAGAUAGUGACGGUACCUGACUAAGAAGCCCCGGCUAACUACGUG
rnacentral:rRNA from 1 species